UUUAAAAAACACAAUGUAUUGUAUUGUCCGAUCAAUCAACAAGCAUUGAAUUGAAUAAUAAGUACUCGAACAUAACCCGCAACACGACAAUAAUGCAUAGCAGAUCCAAACUGUAUAUGAGUGAACGGAUACUAAUAAAUUUUUUAAUUGGUUUAAACAAAACACAAUAUCAGUUUUUCUUUAAAUAGGUGUAGGUAUGGCUAAGCUACUGCGGCUAAUUCUCAGGCGCUCAAACAUCUGCGAAGUAUUUACCUCCAUAAGGAUAGACAUGUUUAGCUGACUACGGAAUGUGUACCCAAUAUGCGAGGCCAGCACCACAUUUAAAAUGGAUUGGUACUGUGUAAAUUGCACAAGGACGUUGAACGAGAAAACAAAGUUUGGUAAACGAAUUCACGGCCUACUCGGUAAUAAGAAACAAAGACAUCAUAACAUAAAUACCGUACACCCACCCUGAAACAUGACACCGACAUCCGUACUUCGGUGGCCUGUAGCCUUAUAGACCCGGACUCUUAUGGAACAAUUAGAAGAGUCGUAAGGGCUUCGUUAUAACAAAAUUAACUAUACAGUCGGCUCCUAAUUCACGAAUAUGGCAGUUUUUUUUCCUACCUAAGCUGAUAUCCUUGAGAGGCUAUUUCAGCGUAACCUUAACUAGUAGGUGAGCUCACGGGGCUCAUACCUGACGACGUUGCUAACACAAACCCUAGCAAGAGCCGUGUUUCGCAGAAUCUACCACCGGAUAGGAAAUGCAAGCCACUGAGAAGAUUCGUCGAGAAACUCAGUGGGCUGGGUUAAUUUACUCGUCGAGCCCUUCGUCGCAAGCGACGAGUUCGACGAGAACGAUCACCGGAUGGCGUCGAAUUGAAAACCAAUUUGUGAAAAAAACGACUCGGACCGACAAUAUGUGGUGCGGUCACCAGUAAAGCUCUUUUUGAUACAUCAAACACAUCCAUUCUGAUAUAUCAAUCCAUUUUUUACAACUAUUUUGUUUACGAUUUUUAUCCCAGGCUUAAUAUAAAUAUGAUCUCUGCCGCAAUAAAAUUAAGGAAUCCGCAUAGGAAAAAAA